AGAGUAAAUCCAUCGAUCGCAGGAAACUGAGGAAAGUCUGCGCUCCACAGAGCAAGGGUGCCGGUGAGAGACCGGUGGAGGCGACUCUAAGGCUAGUGCAACAGAGAUAUACCGCCACACACGUGGUAAGGGUGGAAAGGUGAGGUAAGAGCUCACCAGAGGUAUAGAGAUAUACCUGCUAUGUAAACCCCACUCGGAGCAAGACCAAGUAGGAGUAAAAAGCGUUGCUCGCGCUUUCCGGGAAUGGUAGGUCGCUUGAACCAAUUGGUAACAGUUGGUCUAGAUAGAUGAUCGAAUAAACAGAACGCAGCUUAUAGAUUUACUUGACAG
rfam:Peptoniphilus duerdenii ATCC BAA-1640 genomic scaffold SCAFFOLD1, whole genome shotgun sequence.